rnacentral:rRNA from 1 species
AUUGAACGCUGGCGGCAUGCUUUACACAUGCAAGUCGAACGGCAGCGGGGGCUUCGGCCUGCCGGCGAGUGGCGAACGGGUGAGUAAUGCAUCGGAACGUGCCCAUGUCGUGGGGGAUAACGUAGCGAAAGCUACGCUAAUACCGCAUACGCCCUGAGGGGGAAAGCGGGGGAUUCUUCGGAACCUCGCGCGAUUGGAGCGGCCGAUGUCGGAUUAGCUAGUAGGUAGGGUAAAGGCCUACCAAGGCGACGAUCCGUAGCUGGUCUGAGAGGACGACCAGCCACACUGGAACUGAGACACGGUCCAGACUCCUACGGGAGGCAGCAGUGGGGAAUUUUGGACAAUGGGGGCAACCCUGAUCCAGCCAUUCCGCGUGAGUGAAGAAGGCCUCGG